rnacentral:rRNA from 1 species
GGGGAAUAUUGCACAAUGGGGGAAACCCUGAUGCAGCGAUGCCGCGUGGAGGAAGAAGGUCUUCGGAUUGUAAACUCCUGUUGUUGAGGAAGAUAAUGACGGUACCUGACUAAGAAGCCCCGGCUAACUACGUGCCAGCAGCCGCGGUAAUACGUAGGGGGCAAGCGUUAUCCGGAAUUAUUGGGCGUAAAGAGUGCGUAGGUGGUUACCUAAGCAGGGGGUGAAAGGCACUGGCUUAACCAAUGUCAGCCCCCUGAACUGGGCACCUUGAGUGCAGGAGAGGAAAGCGGAAUUCCUAGUGUAGCGGUGAAAUGCGUAGAUAUUAGGAGGAACACCAGUGGCGAAGGCGGCUUUCUGGACUGUUACUGACACUGAGGCACGAAAGUGUGGGGAGCAAACAGGAUUAGAUACCCUGGUAGUCCACACCGUAAACGAUGAGCACUAGGUGUCGGGGUCGCAAGACUUCGGUGCCGCAGUUAACGCAUUAAGUGCUCCGCCUGGGGAGUACGUACGCAAGUAUGAAACUCAAAGGAAUUGACGGGGACCCGCACAAGCAGCGGAGCAUGUGGUUUAAUUCGAAGCAACGCGAAGAACCUUACCAGGUCUUGACAUCCCGAUGACCGGCCCGUAACGGGGCCUUCUCUUCGGAGCAUUGGAGACAGGUGGUGCAUGGUUGUCGUCAGCUCGUGUCGUGAGAUGUUGGGUUAAGUCCCGCAACGAGCGCAACCCUUAUCCUCAGUAGCCAGCAGGUAAAGCUGGGCACUCUGUGGAGACUGCCAGGGAUAACCUGGAGGAAGGUGGGGAUGACGUCAAAUCAUCAUGCCCCUUAUGAUCUGGGCUACACACGUGCUACAAUGGCGUAAACAAAGGGAGGCAAAGCCGCGAGGUGGAGCAAAUCCCAAAAAUAACGUCUCAGUUCGGACUGCAGUCUGCAACUCGACUGCACGAAGCUGGAAUCGCUAGUAAUCGCGAAUCAGAAUGUCGCGGUGAAUACGUUCCCG